GACAGAGGGUGCAAGCGUUGUUCGGAAUUACUGGGCGUAAAGCGUGUGUAGGCGGCUACGUAAGUCGGAUGUGAAAGCCCCAGGCUCAACCUGGGAAGUGCACUCGAUACUGCGUAGCUUGAGUAUCGGAGAGGUUGGUGGAAUUCUCGGUGUAGAGGUGAAAUUCGUAGAUAUCGAGAGGAACACCGGUGGCGAAGGCGGCCAACUGGACGAAUACUGACGCUGAGACACGAAAGCGUGGGGAGCAAACAGG
rnacentral:rRNA from 1 species